UUUAUGGAGAGUUUGAUCCUGGCUCAGGAUGAACGCUGGCGGCGUGCCUAAUACAUGCAAGUCGAGCGAACGGACGAGAAGCUUGCUUCUCUGAUGUUAGCGGCGGACGGGUGAGUAACACGUGGAUAACCUACCUAUAAGACUGGGAUAACUUCGGGAAACCGGAGCUAAUACCGGAUAAUAUUUUGAACCGCAUGGUUCAAAAGUGAAAGACGGUCUUGCUGUCACUUAUAGAUGGAUCCGCGCUGCAUUAGCUAGUUGGUAAGGUAACGGCUUACCAAGGCAACGAUGCAUAGCCGACCUGAGAGGGUGAUCGGCCACACUGGAACUGAGACACGGUCCAGACUCCUACGGGAGGCAGCAGUAGGGAAUCUUCCGCAAUGGGCGAAAGCCUGACGGAGCAACGCCGCGUGAGUGAUGAAGGUCUUCGGAUCGUAAAACUCUGUUAUUAGGGAAGAACAUAUGUGUAAGUAACUGUGCACAUCUUGACGGUACCUAAUCAGAAAGCCACGGCUAACUACGUGCCAGCAGCCGCGGUAAUACGUAGGUGGCAAGCGUUAUCCGGAAUUAUUGGGCGUAAAGCGCGCGUAGGCGGUUUUUUAAGUCUGAUGUGAAAGCCCACGGCUCAACCGUGGAGGGUCAUUGGAAACUGGAAAACUUGAGUGCAGAAGAGGAAAGUGGAAUUCCAUGUGUAGCGGUGAAAUGCGCAGAGAUAUGGAGGAACACCAGUGGCGAAGGCGACUUUCUGGUCUGUAACUGACGCUGAUGUGCGAAAGCGUGGGGAUCAAACAGGAUUAGAUACCCUGGUAGUCCACGCCGUAAACGAUGAGUGCUAAGUGUUAGGGGGUUUCCGCCCCUUAGUGCUGCAGCUAACGCAUUAAGCACUCCGCCUGGGGAGUACGACCGCAAGGUUGAAACUCAAAGGAAUUGACGGGGACCCGCACAAGCGGUGGAGCAUGUGGUUUAAUUCGAAGCAACGCGAAGAACCUUACCAAAUCUUGACAUCCUUUGACAACUCUAGAGAUAGAGCCUUCCCCUUCGGGGGACAAAGUGACAGGUGGUGCAUGGUUGUCGUCAGCUCGUGUCGUGAGAUGUUGGGUUAAGUCCCGCAACGAGCGCAACCCUUAAGCUUAGUUGCCAUC
rnacentral:rRNA from 1 species